UACGAGAGGCCCAAACGUUAUUCGGAAUUACUGGGCUUAAAGAGUUCGUAGGCGGCGCAGCAAGUAGGGUGUGAAAGCCCUCGGCUCAACCGAGGAAUUGCGCUCUAAACUACUGUGCUUGAGGAAGCUAGAGGUGAGCGGAACUGAUGGUGGAGCGGUGAAAUGCGUUGAUAUCAUCAGGAACACCGGAGGCGAAGGCGGCUCACUGGGGCUUUUCUGACGCUGAGGAACGAAAGCCAGGGGAGCGAACGGG
rnacentral:rRNA from 1 species